UAAGAUAUUUAUGCUUUUAUCCUCUUGGAAUGUAAUUUUUUUUGCAUUUUUACGCCCCUUUUCAACCUGUGAAAUCACUAAGAGGGGCAGUUUCAUCCAUUGGCUGCACUCACAUCUGAGGAAGAGGCACUUGGUGAAGGACGGGAAUCACCGGGCCGAGUUCAGAACUCUGAAAAAAACUUUUCAGAUGCCGGAUCCGGGUCCUCCAGCGUGGCAUGUCAACGCGCUACCACUCGGCCAUCUGGCCGCAUUGUAAUCAGUUAAGCUUUAUAGUAUUUCAAAAAACAAGCAUAACUGCGGGUAAUUCCUCAUUCCAAACUUCUGAUUUUGUUAUCCUAAUCAUACUAUUUUUUUUUUUUAUCAAUAGAUGACGCCACUUUCCAUUCAAUUAGAACACUAAGUUACGGGGCGAAACAAGCUCUUCCCAGGAUGUCCAUUCCUGGGGAGGCCGGGAAUCGACGGGCUGGACCCGGACCCUAUCAGGUUUCGCUCUAGGGGCGGGUAACUCGGACAUUUGUCUGGGGCGGCAAAUCUAAAGGUCGGCAUUUUGGUUGUGAAUGUGGCAAAAUAUUUAUAAUU
rnacentral:lncRNA from 1 species